rnacentral:rRNA from 1 species
ACGAACGCUGCGGCAGGCCUUAACACAUGCAAGUCGAACGGCUCUUCGGAGCAGUGGCGGACGGGUGAGUAACGCGUGGGAACGUGCCCUUUGGUUCGGAACAACACAGGGAAACUUGUGCUAAUACCGGAUGAGCCCUUCGGGGGAAAGAUUUAUCGCCAUUGGAGCGGCCCGCGUUGGAUUAGGUAAGUGGUGGGGUAAAGGCCCACCAAAGCCGACGAUCCAUAGCUGGUCUGAGAGGAUGAUCAGCCACACUGGGACUGAGACACGGCCCAGACUCCUACGGGAGGCAGCAGUGGGGAAUCUUGCGCAAUGGGCGAAAGCCUGACGCAGCCAUGCCGCGUGAAUGAUGAAGGUCUUAGGAUUGUAAAAUUCUUUCACCGGGGAAGAUAAUGACGGUACCCGGAGAAGAAGCCCCGGC